UUUUUUUUUUUUAGGGAGAGAGAGGGAGAAUUUUACUAUUUAUUUUUUAGUAUUUGGCGGACACAACAUCUUUGUAUGUGGUGCUGAGGAUCGAACCCGGGCCGCACGCAUGCCAGGCGAGCAUGCUACUGCUUGAGCCACAUCCCCAGCCCUCAUUAAGUUACUUAAAAGCCUUGUUAAGUUGCUGGGGCUGGCCAGUUGCUGGUCAGUUGCUGAGGCUCAAACUUGUGAUUUUCCUGCCUCAGGCUCCUGAGUCACUGGGAUUAUAGGCAUAUGCCACUGCCCCUUACUGGGAUCAAGUUAGAAAAAAAGAAACUGUUGGUAUGUUUUCUAGUUUGAGAUGCCUGUGCCUGGGGUCUUUUUGUCCAGUUUGCUUGACAGUGAUUGGGGUUCAUUUGUCCAUUUGGUGGCAGCAGACACUGGGAUCAGUUGUCUAGUUUGGGGUGAUGACCCCAGAAGACAUGGGUCUUGCUUUGGGGUAAUACACAGACCCCACUGCCAGGUGACAGCCUAGCUGUCAAGGAGGGGACGGGGGCUGGUGAGGCUAAGGGUUGUGUUUUCACUGUGGGUGGCAGGAGAAGUCAUUCCAGUCCUCUCAUUUGGGUGCAGAGCCCGAGGAUCCCGAGUCUGAGCACAUUAAUACUGAGUGUUCCUAGCACAGUUGAGUCAUGGGGUCCUGCACCAGGUGUGGGUCCCCUGAAUAAACGGAGACCUCUAAGUAUGAGCAGGGUAGUACAGUCUCAUCUGGAAGUACUGAAGCUGGGAGUCUGGGCAUUUGAAACUGGGGAGUCAGGAAGUCAGGAUUCCAGGGUCCAGGAUCUACUUGUGUGUGGAGAGCCAUCCUCACGCAUGACUGGGUGACUCCUGGUUUGGGUCUGAGGCUUCUGGCUGUGUCGGAAUUUUCCCGGCCCUCUCCUGAUGAGAGAACCCAUCCGUGUGGGGGUGUGACUGACCACUGACCCCGGGGGCCCAAUCACUGACCCUGACCUUGGAGUGCGGCCCCCCCUCAACCUUCAUUGGAUGGAAUUAUCCCCUGAAUUUCUUGUUCCCCAAUAAAAGGCUACUCCCUGGCGUGCUCGCUCUCUCUCUCUCCUGCUAGCCCUGAGUAAUCCUUGCUGCCCUGCUGGGCGGUUAGAGGUUGGAACCAGAGAGGGGAGCCCUCUCGGACCUGGUCAUAGAAAAAGGUAACUGAGUCUGUGUGUUUAUUUCGAUCUCUGCUAGCUAACUUUUAUGCCAAGAACCUCAUUAAUGAAACCAAUGCGCAG
rnacentral:lncRNA from 1 species